GGCACCCUUUAAGAAACAAAAUACACUUUAGACCUUUGUGUGUACAAUCGUGUAACUUUCCCAAGAGUGAGAGCAUUGUAGAAAAGAGAAGCCUGAGUCCUGAAGCUUGAUGCUGGAAAUCACUUGGUAAUAGAAUGAUUUACAUUGAUUCAAAGCUGCACCGCUGAGGUUCCAGCAAGGGGACAUUUUGGAUGCAAGCCAAAUGAAAAAAAAAAAAAAACAUUCACUGCAAACGAGAUGUUCCUGGCAGGAGGUGACCUCUGUCCAGUGGCAGACAGCCUGCUUCAGUGGCCACACAAACGUGGGGACCAAAAGAGAAACUCAAAGUCUGCUCAAAGUCAGAAUUAGGUUACAGUAACUUCCAGAAAAAGAAAAAAAAAAGCUGAAGAGGAACAGCUGUAAUAAAUGCCAUGCAACCAUAAUGUUUAGCUUCCUCUCAGGCUCCAUUUUUGUUCUCCUGUUGAGAACAGUCCUCAAACCAAACACUCCCUCAAGCUACAGCUGUAGUGACAUGCAAUAAUCUCACAUCAGCAAUCAGACGUUUCCCUAAAACAGUAAGAAAAACAACCUCAUGCAUGUACUGAUGUUCUGAUCCACAUAAAUCAGAACACACUGUGGAACUGGGCAAAUGAAUCAAAAAGCAG